GCAGGCACAAUGCGCUUCCCACCUUUCUGUGAACCAAAACAAGAAAAUGCACCCAAACAUCCUCCCCAUCUCUUUCUCUGUCAAUGCAACUGUGUUUCUUCUUCUAUCUCUUCCCCCAGUUUUUAAUCCACUCUCCUAGUCACCAUCUGCUUCUUCUUGACCAACCCGUUUGUAAAUCUAAAACUCCAAGGUGCACCCUCUAACAUUGGAGUAAUUUCUCAUGAUGCAUUUGAAAGGUUUUGGCAGGAAAAGUGAGGUUGAUCUUAUAUGGUAUUGGAAGUUUACAAGUUCUUCGGUGUAUUUGGAUGGAGAGCAAUACCAUACUUUCAAAGGUCCAUUUUAAUUGAUAUUUUGGAGGUCUUUGUUUAACCCUUGUCACAGAUAGGAUUGUAUUUUUGGCUUCUCUUUGGUAUAGUAUACGGAAAGAUUGGAAAACUAGAAACUUUGACUGCCCAAAUAUAUCUUUAGUAUAACAAUCUUUCUGCACAGAUGGAAGGAUUAUUCAAAAUUGAAGUUAUUGGAAAAGGUUUGCUUUGGGUUUUAUGCGAUAUAUAUCAUAUAUAUCAAUUCUGGCAGUGUUUUUUAUUUUCAAAAAGGACAUUUAGCGAAAGUAGACUUCAUUCAAAACUUCAAAUAGAUUUGGCUUCUGAGUUUUAAGAGUUGAUAUGUACCCCAAGGCACUGUUUUGUUGCCAAUAUAUCUCUGGAAGCAAAGAGAUAUUUGCUUGCUGAUAAUUUGUUCCCCAAAUAAUACAAUCCUCCAGUCAAAAAAA